rnacentral:rRNA from 1 species
AUUGAACGCUGGCGGAAUGCUUUACACAUGCAAGUCGAACGGCAGCACGGACUUCGGUCUGGUGGCGAGUGGCGAACGGGUGAGUACUGUAUCGGAACGUGCCCAGUCGUGGGGGAUAACGUAGUGAAAAUUACGCUAAUACCGCAUACGAUCUAUGGAUGAAAGCGGGGGAUCGCAAGACCUCGCGCGAUUGGAGCGGCCGAUAUCAGAUUAGGUAGUUGGUGGGGUAAAGGCCCACCAAGCCAACGAUCUGUAGCUGGUCUGAGAGGACGACCAGGCGCACGGGAACUGAGACACGGUCCAGACUCCUACGGGAGGCAGCAGUGGGGAAUUUUGGACGAUGGGCGAAAGCCUGAUCCAGCCAUUCCGCGUGCAGGAUGAAGGCCCUCGGGUUGUAAACUGCUUUUGUACGGAACGAAAAGGUCUCUCUUAAUACGGGGGACUCAUGACGGUACCGUAAGAAUAAGCACCGGCUAACUACGUGCCAGCCGCCGCAGUAC